AGUGAACGCUGGCGGUAGGCCUAACACAUGCAAGUCGAACGGCAGCACAGGAGAGCUUGCUCUCUGGGUGGCGAGUGGCGGACGGGUGAGGAAUACAUCGGAAUCUACUCUGUCGUGGGGGAUAACGUAGGGAAACUUACGCUAACACCGCAUACGACCUACGGGUGAAAGCAGGGGAUCUUCGGACCUUGCGCGAUUGAAUGAGCCGAUGUCGGAUUAGCUAGUUGGCGGGGUAAAGGCCCACCAAGGCGACGAUCCGUAGCUGGUCUGAGAGGAUGAUCAGCCACACUGGAACUGAGACACGGUCCAGACUCCUACGGGAGGCAGCAGUGGGGAAUAUUGGACAAUGGGCGCAAGCCUGAUCCAGCCAUACCGCGUGGGUGGAGAAGGCCUUCGGGUUGUAAAGCCCUUUUGUUGGGAAAGAAAUCCAGCUGGCUAAUACCCGGUUGGGAUGACGGUACCCAAAGAAUAAGCACCGGCUAACUUCGUGCCAGCCGCCGCCGUAA
rnacentral:rRNA from 1 species